GACGAACGCUGGCGGCGUGCUUAACACAUGCAAGUCGAAGGAAAGGCCCUGCUUUUGUGGGGUGCUCGAGUGGCGAACGGGUGAGUAACACGUGAGUAACCUGCCCUUGACUUUGGGAUAACUUCAGGAAACUGGGGCUAAUACCGGAUAGGAGCUCCUGCUGCAUGGUGGGGGUUGGAAAGUUUCGGCGGUUGGGGAUGGACUCGCGGCUUAUCAGCUUGUUGGUGGGGUAGUGGCUUACCAAGGCUUUGACGGGUAGCCGGCCUGAGAGGGUGACCGGCCACAUUGGGACUGAGAUACGGCCCAGACUCCUACGGGAGGCAGCAGUGGGGAAUAUUGCACAAUGGGCGGAAGCCUGAUGCAGCAACGCCGCGUGCGGGAUGACGGCCUUCGGGUUGUAAACCGCUUUCGCCUGUGACGAGGCGUGAGUGACGGUAAUGGGUAAAGAAGCACCGGCUAACUACGUG
rnacentral:rRNA from 1 species